UACGUAGGGUGCAAGCGUUGUCCGGAAUUAUUGGGCGUAAAGAGCUCGUAGGCGGUCUGUCGCGUCUGCUGUGAAAACUCAGGGCUUAACCCUGAGCUUGCAGUGGGUACGGGCAGACUAGAGUGCGGUAGGGGAGACUGGAAUUCCUGGUGUAACGGUGAAAUGCGCAGAUAUCAGGAGGAACACCGGUGGCGAAGGCGGGUCUCUGGGCCGUAACUGACGCUGAGGAGCGAAAGCAUGGGGAGCGAACAGG
rnacentral:rRNA from 1 species